GACGAACGCUGGCGGCGUGCCUAAUACAUGCAAGUAGAACGCACAGUUUAUACCGUAGCUUGCUACACCAUAGACUGUGAGUUGCGAACGGGUGAGUAACGCGUAGGUAACCUGCCUGGUAGCGGGGGAUAACUAUUGGAAACGAUAGCUAAUACCGCAUAAUAUUAAUUAUUGCAUGAUAAUUGAUUGAAAGAUGCAACUGCAUCACUACCAGAUGGACCUGCGUUGUAUUAGCUAGUAGGUGAGGUAACGGCUCACCUAGGCGACGAUACAUAGCCGACCUGAGAGGGUGAUCGGCCACACUGGGACUGAAACACGGCCCAGACUCCUACGGGAGGCAGCAGUAGGGAAUCUUCGGCAAUAGACGAAAGUCUGACCGAGCAACGCCGCGUGAGUGAAGAAGGUUUUCGGAUCGUAAAGCUCUGUUGUAAGAGAAGAACGGGUGUGAGAGUGGAAAGUUCACACUGUGACGGUAUCUUACCAGAAAGGGACGGCUAACUACGUG
rnacentral:rRNA from 1 species